rnacentral:lncRNA from 1 species
GCCUUGCACAGGCAAGCUCUUGCACAGUCGCGCAGUCUAGCUUCGUUCAAGCCUCACACAGGCCAACGCAUACACCAUCAAGCAGUCCUGUAGGCCAGCCCAUGUGCCAUCCAGUAGCAUCAUAGUCCAGCAUAGCCGCAUAUUCCAGCAACCCCUACAUCGUCUAGUAGUCCUAUAGGCCAUCCCCUGCACUGUCUAGUACAUUUAGCAGCCGCGCAAUCUAGCACAGCCACACAGUCUAGCAACCAGUAGCCCCAUAAUCCAACAACCAGUAGUCAGUAGUCUAGCGCAGCCAUCAGUUGCACAGUGCAAUUCAGCCUCCAGUCAUUGCGUAGUCUAGUGUAGCCAGCAGUAGCUGCUCGUGCAGUCCAUAUAUCGUGAAGUCUAUAUGUCUGAUAGUAUGACACUUUAAAAAAAAUAUAUUCUCCUUUGAUUUCCUAAGAUUGAUUCUUGGUGUUACGUUGAUAGUUAACCCAGUCAAGGAGGUUGCCCCAGCCCAUAUGGUUUUGUGCCCAACUCCUAUCUACCUAUCUUUUAGUCCCACGGACGCUAUAGUUGCAGGUACUCUUAUCGCUUUUCAUGAUAAGUCAAGUCACCCCACUUGAAUUCUGAAUUUUGGAGCUAAUAAUAACAUGACUGGUGAGCUUUCUACUUUUACCUCUUCUAUUAGUUUCAUAAAUCAAUCUGUUUGUAUUGCUGAUGGACCAUCUAUUCCCAUUUAUAGUCAGGGUGAUGCCCACUUUUCCACAGAUAUUACUCUUUCCUCAAUUUAUUAUGCUCUGAAUUUUGCCUAUAAUUUUCUUUCUGUUAGUUGUCUUGCAAAAAACCUUAAUUGUGCCGUUGUAGUCUUACCAUCUCGUUGUUUCUUGCAGGACUUGAUUUCGAAGAAGAUUCUUGGCAGGGGAUAUGAGAGUGAUGAACUGUACUACUUUGGGGAUCCGCCAACAUCUAUUGCUUUGUCCUUCAAUCUUCAAGCCUCUACUCUACCAGUCUUAGAGCCCUCCAUUUUAAGUUAGUCUAUAUUAAAUUCGUUUGUUUGUUCUAUUAAAACUUUAAAUUAGUGGCAUGCUCAUUUAGGGUAUGCAAUUUUUUUGUAUUUAUGUUGCCUUUUCUCCCAUCUUAAAAAGGCAUGCCAGAAAGUUACUUUUAAAUGUUUCAUUUGUGAAUUGUCUAAACAUACUCGCACCUCUUAUAUUUCACGCAUGCAUUGUGCACCGAGUGCUUUUGACCUUAUUCACUCAGAUGUAUAGGGCCCGUCUCCAGUUACUUCUUUCUCUUAACACCAUUAUUAUAUCACCUUUAUGGAUGACUACACUAGGUGUACUUAGGUCUACUUGAUGCGCAAUAAAUCCGAGGCCUUUUUCCACUUUACUUAUUUUCUACAAAUGAUCAAAGGGGUAUUGGUGUUAUGAUCCUGUCACUUUUGAAAACUGUUCCAUUCUUCUCAGGUUCUCCAUUUUCUCUGGGCCAUGCUUCAAAGCUGAUUGUGGAAGAGGGCUCUACACCUCCACGUCCGCUUCCUAUACUUGAGUCUCCUCCAAUAUCGCCCAGUGACUCUUUACCCUCGAGUGUUACUACCGACCCCUCAUAGGACUACCCUUAUUAUUCACACGCUCCAGCUCCCCUGCCAACAUCUUCUACGAAUUCAAGUAUCUCUUCUCCUUUAGUUUCUAAUAUACCUCAUCUCCGUUAUCCCACACGUGUUCGUUGUCCCCCUCCCCCCAUUUUCUUCUUUCAAAUAGUACUAAUCACUCUAUUGCACAAUAUCUAUCUUACCAAGGUCUUUAAGACUCCUAUCAGUCUUUUUUGAGUCAAGUGGACUCGGUCUCGAUUCCUCGCUUUGUCCAUGAAGCUCUUUAGAAUCUCUGAGGGUUUCUGCAAUGAAAGCCGAAAUGGAUGCUAUUCAGCACAAUCGAACUUGGGAUCUUAUUGCUUUGCCGAAAGGAGAUCGCACUGUUGGGUUAUAAAUGGGUGUUCAGUGUGAAGUAUUUGGCAGAUGGUUUGGUUGAUCGAUAUAAAUGGUUUUGUUGCUAAAGGCUUUACUCAGAUUGCAUGUAAAGAUUUGGGUGCCACUUUUGCCCUAGUUGCCAAAUUAAACACUAUUUGCCUUCUGAUUUUUCUUGUUGCUUCUUAUUCGUGGCUUCUUCACCAAUUGGAUGUCAAAAAGGCUUUCCUUAAUGGUGAUCUUUCUGAGAUUAUAUAUAUGGAUUUACCUUUAGGUUUUUGGACUUAGGGGGAGUAUUCGGAAAAUGUUUGUCGCCUCCAAAAAUCUAUCUAUGGCUUUAAGUAGUCUCCUUGGAUUUGGUUCUAUCACUUUGGUAAGGUAGUCUUGUCUAUGAGGUUUGUUCGGUGCCACUCAAAUCAUACUUGCUUUAUUCGUCGCCAGUCUUAAGGUCGGUGCAUUAUUAUCUCAGUUUAUGUUGAUGAUAUUAUUAUCAUGGGAGACGAUAUUUCUGGUAUUGUUCAGGUAAAAUGUAGGCCUAGGAAAGCUUUUGACAUU